AACCAUCGGCCGGGAAUCGAACCCGGGGCGCCCGCGUGGCAGGCGAGCAUUUUACCACUGAACGAAAGGCAAACGGU
rnacentral:tRNA from 1 species